CACAACCCUCAGCUGUCAGGUUUCCCUGGCACCCAGAGGGGACUGAGCCAGCAGCUGACCUGAAAACAGCGAGUCUGCUGACUGUCCAGCGAUCAUUUCCCUCUAUUGAGAAUUUUAACCAAGUUUCUGUUGUCUGUAGUUAUUUGAUAUUGGCUGUGGACCCACAAAGUCACACAAGGCUAAAGGGUGGACAGCACGGAAGAGGCAGUACAUCUUAACAAAAUCAGGGUUCUGGAUGAAGGGAGGGGUGGUGAAUGGUUGCUGCAAUCAACAGUUCAUACUUCAAUGGAAAGAAGGUGGGAUUUGAUUCCUGGCUGCAAAUCUUCACUCUGUCACCUGCUAUCUGUGUGCCCUCAGUCUCCCAUCAAGGAGUGAUGUCUGUUUCUCCACUUCUUGAAUCUGGGCUGGCCUUGCCAAUAGCAUAUGGCAGAAGUGACAUCGUUCCAUUUCUGAGUCAAAGCCUGAGGAGGCCUUGCAUGCUUCUACUCUCUCUUGCAACCCUGCACUGCCACAUAUCAACAAGACUUAUCAACAAGCCUGGGAUAGCCUGCUAGAUGAUGAAAGAAAUAUGGCCCGCUUGCUCCCAUCACUCCAGCUGAUAGCCAGGCAACCCUAAGAAGCAAAGUCACCUAGCUGAUUAGUAGCUGACCACUGACACAAAAGUAAGAUCAUCUGAGACCAGAAGACAGCCCAUCUGAGCUCAGCCCAAAUUACUGACCCACAAAGUAAUAAUAAAUAAAUGGUUAUUAUUUUUAUGUCACUGAA
rnacentral:lncRNA from 1 species